CACGAGUAGAGUGGCGAACGGGCGAGUAAUACUUUGCUAACGUACCCUGAGGUCGGGGAUAGCGACUGGAAACGGUCGGUAAUACCCGAUGACCCCUGCAGACCGCAUGAUCCGCAGGGCAAAGGCUUGCACCUCAGGAUCGGGCAAAGCGCUAUCAGCUUGUUGGUGGGGUAACGGCUCACCAAGGCGAAGACGGCUAGCGGGUGUGAGAGCAUGACCCGCCGCAUCGGGACUGAGACACUGCCCGGACUCCUACGGAAGGCUGCAGUAACGGAUCUUCCGCAAUGCGCGAAAGCGUGACGGAGCAAUGCCGCGUGAAGGAUGAAGCCCCUCGGGGUGUAAACUUCUGUCAGGUCUCAGGAAUUCUGACCAAGACCAAAGGAAGGACCGGCUAACUUCGUGCCAGCAGCCGCGGUAAGACGAAGGGUCCUAGCGUUAAUCGGAAUCACUGGGCUUAAAGCGUGCGCAGGCGGGCCUGUAAGUACCUUGUGAAAUCCCACCGGUCAACGGUGGAACUGCAGGGUAUACUGCAGGCCCUUAGGCCCAGUAGAGGCUGCCGGAACGGUAGGUGUAGCGGGUGAAAAUGCGUAGAUAUCUACCGGAACGCCAAAGACGAAGGUAGGCAAGGCUGGGCUGGUUCUGACGCUCAGGCACGAAAGCGUGGGGAGCAAACAGGAUUUAGAUUACCUUGGUAGUCCACGCCCGGUAAACGAUGUGGUACUAGAUCCGAGAGGCUCUGACGCCAUUCAGGGUCAGAAGCAAAAGUGUCAAGUACAGCGCACUGGGGAGUACGGUCGCAAGCGCUAAAACUCAAAGGGGGUGACAGGAGGAUCAGACAAACGGUGGAGCAUAUGGCGUAACUUUCGAGCAACCUCGUAGAACGCGUUAUACAGAGUCUGACAUGCACGGAUGACCUGGCCAGAAAGGCGACUAAGCUGCACAUUCAGGAUGAAACGUGCACAGGUGCUGCAUGACUGUCGUCAGCUCGUGCUGUGAAGUGU
rnacentral:rRNA from 1 species